AAGAUCGUACUUCACAGGAUCAUUUCUGUAGUCGAUCUAACGUUUCCGCUUGCCGGAUUCGUACACCCUGAAGCCUCGAUGAUGCGUCGAGGGUGUGAGCCUGAGCGUGAAACUGGAUUGACGCAACCCUUCGGGGUAGUAUCUCUCCUUGAAGAUCGUUCGGACCUGGCAACAGGUACGGUGGCACGCACUCAGUCUGAGCGGU